rnacentral:tRNA from 1 species
GCCGAGGUGGCGGAACUGGCAGACGCAAGGGACUUAAAAUCCCUCGGUCCGUAUGGACCAUACGGGUUCGAAUCCCGUCCUCGGCACGA